rnacentral:rRNA from 1 species
GUUUGAUCCUGCCAGUAAUCAUAUGCUUGUCUCAAAGAUUAAGCCAUGCAUGUCUAAGUACAUGCCGAAAUAAGGCGAAACCGCGAAUGGCUCAUUAAAUCAGUUAUGGUUCCUUAGAUCGUUUCUUCCUACUUGGAUAACUGUGGCAAUUCUAGAGCUAAUACAUGCAGUGAGCCUGGAACCCUUUGGGUUUACGGGUGCUUUUAUUAGACCAAGAUCGAUCGGGUUUCGGCCCGUAUUGUGUGGUGACUCUGGAUAACUUUGUGCUGAUCGCAUGGCCAUGAGCCGGCGACGUUUCUUUCAAGUGUCUGCCUUAUCAACUUUCGAUGGUAGGUUACUUGCUUACCAUGGUUGUUACGGGUAACGGAGAAUCAGGGUUCGAUUCCGGAGAGGGAGCCUGAGAAACGGCUACCACAUCCAAGGAAGGCAGCAGGCGCGCAAAUUACCCACUCCCGGCACGGGGAGGUAGUGACGAAAAAUAACAAUACGGGACUCUUUUGAGGCCCCGUAAUUGAAAUGAGUACACUCUAAAUCCUUUAACGAGGAUCAAUUGGAGGGCAAGUCUGGUGCCAGCAGCCGCG